CCUACGGGUGGCAGCAGUGAGGAAUAUUGGUCAAUGGGCGAGAGCCUGAACCAGCCAAGUCGCGUGAAGGAUGACGGCCCUACGGGUUGUACACUUCUUUUGUCAGGGAGCAAUUGAGUCCACGUGUGGUCUUAGCGAGAGUACCUGAAGAACAAGCAUCGGCUAACUCCGUGCCAGCAGCCGCGGUAAUACGGAGGCUGCGAGCGUUAUCCGGAUUUAUUGGGUUUAAAGGGUGCGUAGGCGGAAUAUCAAGUCAGCGGUAAAAAUUCGGGGCUCAACCCCGUCGUGCCGUUGAAACUGAUUUUCUUGAGUGAGCGAGAAGUAUGCGGAAUGCGUGGUGUAGCGGUGAAAUGCAUAGAUAUCACGAAGAACACCGAUGGCGAAGGCAGCAUACCGGCGCCCAACUGACGCUGAAGCACGAAAGCGUGGGUAUCGAACAGGAUUAGAUACCCUUGUAGUC
rnacentral:rRNA from 1 species